GGUUGGAUCAUUAACAAUAAAGACGAUACGGAGUCGAGUAGUGACAUAACUGUCGCGAUCCGACGCCGAAACGUACUACCCCACUUGUGAAUCGUAAACGUACUUUGGCAGCCCUCCAAAAGCCCUUCUUUUUAGAGGGAUGGGCUGUCAGCUCAUAGUUAAACACCUGUUUUAUUAUCAACGAGUUUUAAUGAGCAGCGAAAAGACCUUUUUUUAAAGGGUUGCUUCAAAGCUUCAUUUCUGUAUUGAAAUGAUUUGAAAACAACUUUUGACAACGGAUCUCUUGGCUCGCGCAACGAUGAAGAACGUAGCGAAUUGCGAUAAGUAGUGUGAAUUGCAGAAUUCAGUGAAUCAUCGAAUCUUUGAACGUACAUUACACUUCUUGGUAUUCCGAGGAGUAUGCCUGUUUGAGAACCGUUUCACUCCUCACACCUAAUAUUCUUGGUUAUCACAAUUUAGAAUAGUAGCGUCGUGGACUUGAGCCAUCAGCGGUCAAACGCAGUGGCUUGAAAUGGAUAAUCGGUGUUUGGAAAGCCAAUCUCGAAAGAUAUUGAAAAGGCUUUAAACCGAUAGACUUGAUGAUGAGGGAUUUAUCCUUCUUUUUUUUCAGUCCUUCUUGGUGUAAGAGCUGCUGACUUUACAACGAUGAAACGUUUUAACAUGCCAGGCACUCAAUCCUUGUGAUUGGGUGUAAACCUGAACUCAUGGUCUCAAAUCAGGUAAGAGAACCCGCUGAACUUAAGCAUAUCAAUAAGCGGAGGAAAAGAAACCAACUGGGAUUCCCUUAGUAACGGCGAGUGAAGCGGGAAAAGCUCAAUUUUGAAAUCUCUCAGGUUCCCUGAGCGAAUUGUAGUUUCAAGAAGCGUUUUUGGGGGCGGCCCGGGUAAAAGUCCGUUGGAACGCGGCAUCAUGGAGGGUGAGAAUCCCGUUCUUGAUCCGGCGUCCGCUCCUGUGUAAUACGUUUUCAAAGAGUCGGAUAGUUUGGGAUUGCUGUCCAAAAUGGGUGGUAAAUACCAUCUAAAGCUAAAUAUUGGCGCGAGACCGAUAGCGAACAAGUACCGUGAGGGAAAGAUGAAAAGAACUUUGAAAAGAGAGUUAAACAGUACGUGAAAUUGUCAAAAGGGAAACGCUUGAAACCAGUAUUGCGAUGCGCAAAUCAGUCGUUCAUUAGAACGGUGCACUUUGCGUAUUGCGGGUCAGCAUCAGUUUCGUUCGGAGUAAAAAGCUAGAGGAAGGUAGCCCUCUUUUGGGUGUUAUAGCCUCUGGUCAUGCUCUGGGUGGGACUGAGGUCUGCAGCCUUGCUUUUGGGACGCUUUCAGCCCUCUGACGUUGUGUGCCGGACAGCUUGCUGAUCGUCGCUCAAUUUAGGAGGCCCUGUUGGCUUACACAACUAGGCUUAGGAUGCUGACGAAAUGGUUUUAAACGACCCGUCUUGAAACACGGACCAAGGAGUCCAACAAUCCUGCGAGUGUUUGGGUGGCAAACCCGAGCGCGUAAUGAAAGUGAAUGUAGGAGGGAUCCGCAAGGAGCACCUUCGACCGGUCUGGAUUUUUUUGAAAAGAUCUGAGUAAGAGCAUGAUUGUUGGGACCCGAAAGAUGGUGAACUAUACCUGAAUAGGGUGAAGCCAGAGGAAACUCUGGUGGAGGCUCGUAGCGGUUCUGACGUGCAAAUCGAUCGUCAAAUUUUGGUAUAGGGGCGAAAGACUAAUCGAACCAUCUAGUAGCUGGUUCCCUC
rnacentral:misc_RNA from 1 species